rnacentral:lncRNA from 10 species
ACAAAAGUGAAACUCUGUCUCAAAAAAAAAAAAAAAAGUGACCCAACCUUCCUGGCAGCUUGCAAGCAAGGGUUUAUAAAGGCAGGGGUAAAUUUAAGGAGAGAAAUUUACCCUCAUACAGGCAAAAUUGUAAACCAAGACAUGGAGGUUACACAUCGGUUUGGCCUAACACGGCAGUCUAUCUUGAAGCAGGGACUUCCAGGUCAGAGGUGGAGUCAAAGAUUCUCUGAUUGGUUAAGGCAUUGAAGCUCUGUCUAAUCGCUUAGGGUCAGCAGAAAGAAAGGGAUGUUAAGAUCUGGCCUGUGGGCGUGCCAGGAGCCCCCAGGCAGAAAUUUAGAACAAAGCACUGCAGCAGUCAGAGCUCAGUCCUCACUCCCUUCUUAUCUGAGGUCUGCCUGCCAGGGGCCCAUUUGCUGGGGGUCCUGGUUUCUGAAAAGCAAUCAGGGGCAUAGGCUAAGAUGGCAUCUUUAGCUUCCAGAGAAAACCAAACCUCUUGUGUCUCUGACUUCCUUGGCCACUGUUCAAAGCUACAAUUACCUUCUCACUUAUCGGGCUGCUCAUUUACUCCUCAGGGCUAGUGAGGUGCUGGCCUUUCCCUUGAAGGAACUCAAGAUUUGUCUUUAUUUCCAUGCUGGGAGGGUGGUGGGUAGCAGGAUCCUAAGAGGGGUCCCUGCUGCAUCUCAAAGACAACUUUAGAAAGAAGCACAAUGAGCCUGGUUUUUAAAUCUCCUGCCCUGCAAUCUCCAGCUGAGGCCACGCCCUCAACCUCCCCGACAGGGUCUCCUAAGGCUCAGGCGGGCUGGGAGUUCUGCCCUUGCACUCUGAGGGGAAGCUGGGGGACAGUGGAGGGCUCUGGCCUUGGAGAAAUAGUGACUUCAUGGGCGGGGACUCUUCCCCAGGAAGGCUGUGGGCAUCCACCCUCAGCUCUCUCCACCCCCUCUAGGGGAACCUACCGUCAAGGUCCAGCUGCCAAGCUGGCUGUGGCCUGUGUGCCUUGCCCUGCUGGUCACCACUGCCCCGAGAGGGGCACCAUCAUGCCACAGCUGUGCAGCAUUGGCAGCUUCUCUGGUCCAGGUCGUCUCUGGUGCCAGGAGUGCUCAGGAGGAAAACUCUGCAACCAGACAAAGCUACCUGGCCCUAUGACGUGUCCCCCUGGGCACUACUGUCCAGCCCAGGGCCUGCUGUCCGUCCCCUGCCCCAUGGGCACUUUCCGAAAGGCCCCCGGGGCUGCCCGCGUGGAAGACUGCCAGCCAUGCCACCCGGGGACAUUCUGUGGCAAAGCUGGCCUGGCCGAGCCCCAGGGCCUGUGCCACCCUGGGCAUCACUGUGGGCCUGGCUCCAACACCUCAUCCCCGGAGGGACUCCCCUUUGGUGACCUCUGCCCCCCGGGUCAUGUCUGCCCUGCUGGCACCAAGGACCCCAGGCAGUGGCCCUGCCCGGCUGGCACCUGGAAUGCAGAGAGAGGGGCACAGGACAUGAGCUGGUGCCUGCCUUGCCCACCUGGGCUUUUCUGUGCCACCACAGGCCAGGUUGCCCCUGGGGGCCCGUGUGCACCAGGUAAGGACGCCUACAUCCCCCUGAGCACGAAGCAGAGCAUGGCUGGGACCUGCCACCCUGGGAGCCUCAGUGCCUGGGGAGGAGGCACGCUGGAGGGAGCCCAGGGCAACUGUGCCUGGGCGGUGGGGCCAGGCUUGUGUGAAUGAGGAGGAGGCAGGCUGGAGACUGGCCAGAGGCGGAUACUGAAC